UCGGACCCGUACAGGGGAAGUCGGUGAUCCUAUGCUGCCAAGAAAAUCUUCUAGCGAGGUUCGAGCCGCCCGUACCCCAAACCGACUCAGGUGGUUAGGUAGAGAAUACCAAGGCGAUCGAGUGAAUCGUGGUUAAGGAAUUCGGCAAAAUACCCCCGUAACUUCGGGAGAAGGGGGGCCCAGAGGGUGACGGGACUUGCUCCCCGAGCCUGAACGGCCGCAGAGACCAGGGAGAAGCGACUGUUUACUAGAAACACAGGUCCGUGCCAAGUCGCAAGACGAUGUAUACGGACUGACGCCUGCCCGGUGCUGGAACGUUAAGGGGACCGGUUAGCCUCACGGCGAAGCUGAGAACUUAAGCGCCAGUAAACGGCGGUGGUAACUAUAACCAUCCUAAGGUAGCGAAAUUCCUUGUCGGGUAAGUUCCGACCUGCACGAAUGGCGUAACGAUUUCUCCACUGUCUCAACCACGAACUCGGCGAAAUUGCACUACGAGUAAAGAUGCUCGUUACGCGCAGAAGGACGGAAAGACCCCGGGACCUUUACUACAGCUUGGUAUUGGUGUUCGGUACGGCUUGUGUAGGAUAGGUGGGAGACUGUGAAGCUGACACGCCAGUGUCGGUGGAGUCAACGUUGAAAUACCACUCUGGUCGUUCUGGAUAUCUAACCUAGGUCCGUGAUCCGGAUCAGGGACAGUGCCUGGUGGGUAGUUUAACUGGGGCGGUUGCCUCCUAAAAGGUAACGGAGGCGCCCAAAGGUUCCCUCAGCCUGGUUGGCAAUCAGGUUUUGAGUGUAAGUGCACAAGGGAGCUUGACUGUGAGACUGACAAGUCGAACAGGGACGAAAGUCGGGACUAGUGAUCCGGCGGUGGCUUGUGGAAGCGCCGUCGCUCAACGGAUAAAAGGUACCCCGGGGAUAACAGGCUGAUCUUGCCCAAGAGUCCAUAUCGACGGCAUGGUUUGGCACCUCGAUGUCGGCUCGUCGCAUCCUGGGGCUGGAGUAGGUCCCAAGGGUUGGGCUGUUCGCCCAUUAAAGCGGUACGCGAGCUGGGUUUAGAACGUCGUGAGACGGUUCGGUCCCUAUCCUCUGCGCGCGCAGGAAACUUGAGAAGGGCUGUCCCUAGUACGAGAGGACCGGGAUGGACGAACCUCUGGUGUGUCAGUUGUUCUGCCAAGAGCACCGCUGAUUAGCUACGUUCGGGAGUGAUAACCGCUGAAAGCAUCUAAGCGGGAAGCAUGCUUCAAGAUGAGGUUUCCAUGGGGUUUACCCCGAGAGGCUCCCAGCUAGACUACUGGGCUGAUAGGCCGGAUGUGGAAGUGCGGUAACGCAUGGAGCUGACCGGUACUAAUAAGCCGAUAACUUGACC
rnacentral:rRNA from 1 species